rnacentral:rRNA from 1 species
CAACUUUCAGCAGUGGAUGUCUAGGCUCGCACAUCGAUGAAGAACGCUGCGAACUGCGAUACGUAAUGCGAAUUGCAGGAUUCAGUGAGUCAUCGAAAUUUUGAACGCAUAUUGCACUUCCGG